UACGGAGGGUGCGAGCGUUGUCCGGAUUUACUGGGCGUAAAGAGCGCGCAGGCGGUCGUUCAAGUCGCGUGUGAAAGCCCCCGGCUCAACUGGGGAGGGUCACGCGAUACUGAUCGACUCGAAGGCAGGAGAGGGUAGUGGAAUUCCCGGUGUAGUGGUGAAAUGCGUAGAUAUCGGGAGGAACACCAGUGGCGAAGGCGACUACCUGGCCUGUUCUUGACGCUGAGGCGCGAAAGCUAGGGGAGCGAACAGG
rnacentral:rRNA from 1 species